AUUUAUUAAGACCACAUGUUUU
rnacentral:snRNA from 1 species